UGGGGAAUAUUGGACAAUGGGCGAAAGCCUGAUCCAGCCAUGCCGCGUGUGUGAAGAAGGUCUUCGGAUUGUAAAGCACUUUAAGUUGGGAGGAAGGGCAGUAAGCGAAUACCUUGCUGUUUUGACGUUACCGACAGAAUAAGCACCGGCUAACUCUGUGCCAGCAGCCGCGGUAAUACAGAGGGUGCAAGCGUUAAUCGGAAUUACUGGGCGUAAAGCGCGCGUAGGUGGUUCGUUAAGUUGAAUGUGAAAGCCCCGGGCGCAACCUGGGAACUGCAUCCAAAACUGGCGAGCUAGAGUAGGGCAGAGGGUGGUGGAAUUUCCUGUGUAGCGGUGAAAUGCGUAGAUAUAGGAAGGAACACCAGUGGCGAAGGCGACCACCUGGGCUCAUACUGACACUGAGGUGCGAAAGCGUGGGGAGCAAACAGG
rnacentral:rRNA from 1 species